CUACGGGAGGCAGCAGGGGGGAAUCUUGCACAAUGGAGGAAACUCUGAUGCAGCGAUGCCGCGCUGAGUGAAGAAGGCCCUUGGGUUGUAAAGCUCUUUCGUCGGGGAAGAAGAGAUGACUGUACCCGAAUAAGAAGGUCCGGCUAACUUCGUGCCAGCCGCCGCGAUAAUA
rnacentral:rRNA from 1 species